rnacentral:rRNA from 1 species
UACGUAGGCAGCAAGCGUUGUUCGGAAUUACUGGGCGUAAAGGGCUCGUAGGCGGCCAACUAAGUCAGACGUGAAAUCCCUCGGCUUAACCGGGGAACUGCAUCUGAUACUGGAUGGCUUGAGUUUGGGAGAGGGAUGCGGAAUUCCAGGUGUAGCGGUGAAAUGCGUAGAUAUCUAGAGGAAUACCGGUGGCGAAGGCGGCAUCCUGGACCGAGAUUGACGCUGAUGAGCGAAAGCUAGGGGAGCAAACGGG